rnacentral:tRNA from 2 species
CUCGCUGUAGCUCAGUGGUAGAGCGCUCGGCUCUCAGGACCGAGUAGUCACCGGUUCGAGCCCGGUCAGCGAGG